AAGUGAGAAUGCCGGUGUGAGUAGCGAAAGACGGGUGAGAAUCCCGUCCACCGAUUGACUAAGGUUUCCAGAGGAAGGCUCGUCCGCUCUGGGUUAGUCGGGUCCUAAGCUGAGGCCGACAGGCGUAGGCGAUGGAUAACAGGUUGAUAUUCCUGUACCACCUAUAAUCGUUUUAAUCGAUGGGGGGACGCAGUAGGAUAGGCGAAGCGUGCGAUUGGAUUGCACGUCUAAGCAGUAAGGCUGAGUAUUAGGCAAAUCCGGUACUCGUUAAGGCUGAGCUGUGAUGGGGAGAAGACAUUGUGUCUUCGAGUCGUUGAUUUCACACUGCCGAGAAAAGCCUCUAGAUAGAAAAUAGGUGCCCGUACCGCAAACCGACACAGGUAGUCAAGAUGAGAAUUCUAAGGUGAGCGAGCGAACUCUCGUUAAGGAACUCGGCAAAAUGACCCCGUAACUUCGGGAGAAGGGGUGCUCUUUAGGGUUAACGCCCAGAAGAGCCGCAGUGAAUAGGCCCAAGCGACUGUUUAUCAAAAACACAGGUCUCUGCUAAACCGUAAGGUGAUGUAUAGGGGCUGACGCCUGCCCGGUGCUGGAAGGUUAAGAGGAGUGGUUAGCUUCUGCGAAGCUACGAAUCGAAGCCCCAGUAAACGGCGGCCGUAACUAUAACGGUCCUAAGGUAGCGAAAUUCCUUGUCGGGUAAGUUCCGACCCGCACGAAAGGCGUAACGAUUUGGGCACUGUCUCAACGAGAGACUCGGUGAAAUCAUAGUACCUGUGAAGAUGCAGGUUACCCGCGACAGGACGGAAAGACCCCGUGGAGCUUUACUGUAGCCUGAUAUUGAAAUUCGGCACAGCUUGUACAGGAUAGGUAGGAGCCUUUGAAACGUGAGCGCUAGCUUACGUGGAGGCGCUGGUGGGAUACUACCCUAGCUGUGUUGGCUUUCUAACCCGCACCACUUAUCGUGGUGGGAGACAGUGUCAGGCGGGCAGUUUGACUGGGGCGGUCGCCUCCUAAAAGGUAACGGAGGCGCUCAAAGGUUCCCUCAGAAUGGUUGGAAAUCAUUCAUAGAGUGUAAAGGCAUAAGGGAGCUUGACUGCGAGACCUACAAGUCGAGCAGGGUCG
rnacentral:rRNA from 1 species